UUGUAUCUCACCACUUUCCAGUGGCAAACUGUGUGAACUGUACCUCUGCAGUAGUGGCAACUACCGCGGGCGGAUCUGGCGCUAGGCGGCGUCGCUCCAGUGAUGGGGUGACUUGCGCAACGCCGGUGAUGUCUGCUGCAAGUGCUGCUACGCGUACUUUCGACGUACCAACCACAACAACCAUUCAAACUUACUUAACUUUAAAUCAAAUA
rnacentral:misc_RNA from 1 species